rnacentral:lncRNA from 1 species
GUAAUUGCUCGUGUGCUGAAGGAACAUGACUGGCCCUGUUGCUAGAGAGGUGUGGUGCUCCUGUGGUUCAGCCCGACGGUGGGGACAGACUCCAAGGCUGUUCACAGCACGGGUAGAGAAGUGUCUGUGGGUCCUCUCCUGUGUGGAAGGGCAGCUGCCAGCCUCUUGCCCCGGCUGGAAACAGCCACAGUCCCAGAAAUACAUGGGGGAGUCGAAGAUCUAA